UGCUCCAGGGAAUGAAUGCAUUUGCCAUUAACAAGGGCCAUCGUCCUCUGCUGUUGCAGAUCAGGGCAGUGUUUCUUAGUGCCCAACAAGCCGCCCUUGGCGGCGGGCAGGGAACAGAAAUCCUCAUUCGCCCCUAAAAACAACAGAGCUUUGUUUGGUUUCAAGAACUGGAAUUGACUCUUGGGAAUUGUUAGGUUGGUGACAUCGCAUUCGAGAUUCACCAAGAAGGGAACGGCAACGGCAAGAUAUGUUUAUCUACCUGAAAACAUGGCUACAAAAGGUUAACUAUCCCAGCUUAGCACAUUGCGUCGACUAUUAUUCACAACAGACAGGUUUAUAUGUAUUCAAUAUGUAUUGCCAGAGAAAGAGAGUCAGCAUAAGUAACAAAUAUCGUGCUGGAUAUGAAACCACGUCGCGAAAAGAGUCGACUAGAUUGAAUCGAUACUCCCAAAUCCAAAGACUAUCCUCUAGUAGCCAAGAACAAGCAUAUAUUGUUAUAGAUAUCUGCAAACGUCUUAGGCAGG
rnacentral:sRNA from 1 species